GUGACCUGCGGAGGAUCAUUAUCGAGAGGGGGGCGUCCGCGCCCCAGGGGCUCGGCCCCGCACCUUUCCACCCGUGCGUAUCUUCCACUGUUGCUUUGGCGGGCCCCGGGGCUUUGCCCCCGGCGCUGGCUCCCUUCCGGGGGGUUCGCGAGCGCCCGCCGGGAGGCCCUAUCGAACACCUGUGUCAUCAGUGCCGUCUGAGCAUACGAAUAAUCAAUCAAAACUUUCAACAACGGAUCUCUUGGUUCUGGCAUCGAUGAAGAACGCAGCGAAAUGCGAUAAGUAAUGUGAAUUGCAGAAUUCAGUGAAUCAUCGAAUCUUUGAACGCACAUUGCGCCCUUUGGUAUUCCGAAGGGCAUGCCUGUUCGAGCGUCAUUACACCCCUCAAGCUCUGCUUGGUAUUGGGUGCUCGCCCCCUGCUCGGCGGGGGGCGCGCCCGAAAUUCAGUGGCGGUCCCGGCGGACUUCAAGCGUAGUAAAUCUCAUCCGCUUUGGAAGCUUUCCCCCGGCGGCCUCGCCAGCAACCUCCUUCUCCCCCACAAUUGACCUCGGAUCAGGUAGGGAUACCCGCUGAACUUAA
rnacentral:rRNA from 1 species